rnacentral:rRNA from 1 species
CUACGGGUCGCAGCAGUGGGGAAUAUUGGACAAUGGGGGAAACCCUGAUCCAGCAAUGCCGCGUGUGUGAAGAAGGCCUGCGGGUUGUAAAGCACUUUCGGUUGGGAGGACUGCUUCUAGCACUAAUAUUGUUGGAAGUUGACGUUACCUUCAGGAGAAGCACCGGCUAACUCCGGGCCAGCAGCCGCGGUAAUACGGGGGGUGCAGGCGUUAAUCGGAAUUACUGGGCGUAAAGCGCGCGUAGGCGGCUAGAUCAGUCGGGUGUGAAAGCCCCGGGCUUAACCUGGGAACUGCAUCCGAUACUGUCUAGCUUGAGUACAGGAGAGGAGAGUGGAAUUCCACAUGUAGCGGUGAAAUGCGUAGAGAUGUGGAGGAACACCAAUGGCGAAGGCAGCUCUCUGGCCUGAUACUGACGCUGAGGUGCGAAAGCGUGGGGAGCAAACAGGAUUAGAUACCCUUGUAGUC